rnacentral:lncRNA from 1 species
GGCAUCGUCGGGGGCGGGGACACCGGGGCCACGGGCGCGGGCAUCGGGGUGGCCGCCGGGGCCUGGGCCGCGGUGGCGGCGAACAGCAUGGUCAGGGCCAGAGCCACGAGCUGGAUGCGCGCCAUUGCAGGAGUGAAGAGGAGAGCUUGAGCUUGAGCUUGGGGUGGCUUCUGCUUCUGCUUGAGGUGGUGCUGGUGGUGGUGUGUACUGUAAUGGUGUCCGAGACGGUAUUGGGCCGGGAGAUUAUAAAGGGGCCGCGGACGGGGCCACGACGACGAAUUACAAGAUGUGUCAGGGGCCUUCCUGCUAAUUUGCGCGCCGGGUAGCCGUCCGAUCGACAUCCAACAGCUGGUCCGGGUGGAAAGCUUCAACUCUUUUUUCUUCUCCGAACUUCUGACUUCUGAACAGCAAGCAAGCAAGUUUUUUUCCAAACGAUCAGAAAAAAUCUAGUUCAAUCCCAACAGCUGGCGGACAUAAUUUCUUUCUUUUGGUUCAUGGAAAAUUCUCCCGCGAUCGCCUUGCCUAAUUCUGUUUCUCGUUAUGGUUCACGCGUGGUUCUGGUCGACGGUGAGCUGGGUUUCUCUUCCUGUUUUUGCCUUGCCUAAUUUUGUCUUCUGGACGAUCAAUGCAAAAUGGCAAGUAGCUAGUGAGCCAAUUGGCCCACGCGUUCGCAAUGUCCCUUACAACCACAAUAAAAUGUCAGACUUCAAAACAAUAUUACUUCGAAAGUCAAGGUCACGCGUAAAUGUGAAAUGGCAAGUUUCUUUUAGGGUUGUGUGAAAUACCAAGUGGUAUUUGCUAAUGAGCCGAUUGGCUCACGCGUUUGCGGAGUUAUUGCAUCAAGUUUUUCUUUACAAGGAUGAUAAAAAGUCAGAUUUCAAAAACAAAGUUACUUCCAAAGUCAAAGUGCUUUUUCUCGCAAUUACAUGGGCGACGCACGCGCAGACACGCAUGCGCCAACGUGAAAUAUCAAGAAGUAUUUGCUAGUGAGCCGAUUGGCUCACACGAUUGCGAUGUUUGUGCAUCGAGUUUUCUUUACAAGGAUAAUGGAGGUCCAUUUUCAACAGCAAGGUUGCCUCCAAGGUCAAGGUGCUUCUUUAUGCAGUUACAACACACACGUAGACACGCACACACGCACUCAGAACCUUAUAAAUUUGGAGAAUUUUUUUCCUUUUCUUUUUGAGGCAACCUUGCUGUUGAAAACUAAAGUUGAGAGAGAGUUUAGUCCCACCCUGAAAGUUGAGAGUUGCACCUCUUUAUAAAGUGAGCUCUUCUACCACUUGUAUGAGCAUGAGAAGAGGAGACCCAAUUCUCACAGACUACGACGUUAAUAGUCAAAUUCAUAUAGGUGUGUUCCUUAGAAGAUGUUCUGCAGGACAACAUCUCUGCUUACCCGAAUAAGCCACUUGGAACACAUUAAGAUAAGUAUCAACCUGCCAUGCAGAUCAAGAGAGUAUUGCAUCUUCACGGAGUGGGAUAAUUAAUAUAGGGAUACUCUCCUCCCAGCUGACCAACAGCUUGUCUCCCACUUCUACUUCACGGGAUCUCCGAUCAUAUAGAGUGGUUUACCACUAUGGACAACUCAUGCGGUGGGUCUCAAACCCAUCUCUAUCGAUGCAUCAUCUAUCACAUUACAUGAUAGACCAUUUGUGAAGGGAUCUGCCAAGUUUUUCGACGUUUGGAUAUAAUCCAACGUAAUAAAUCCGGAGUUCCUCAAUUUUCUGACAGAUUUUAGUCUCCUCUUCACAUGCCUUGAGGACUUCAUAUUGUCCUUAGAACUGUUUAUCUUGACGAUCACAGUUUGAUUAUCACAGUUCAUCAGGAUAGGGGGGAUUGGUUUUUCAACCAUAGGUAAGUCCAUCAAGAGUUCACGAAGCCACUCUGCUUCAACAGUGGCAGUGUCUAAUGCUGUGAGUUCUGCUUCCAUAGUUGACCUUGUUAAGAUGGUCUGCUCGCAAGACUUCCAGGAAACAGCACCACCACCAAGUGUAAAAACAUAACCACUUGUGGCCUUAAUCUCAUUAGCAUCAGAUAUCCAGUUUGAGUCACUAUAACCCUCCAGUACCCUUGGAUACCCGGUGUAGUGAAUCCCAUAGCUCGCGGUGCCUUUCAAAUAGCGCAUAACUCUCUUAAGCACAUGCCAAUGAUCAUCUCCCAGUUUUGACACAAACCAACUCAGCUUGCUCACAGCAAAAGAGAUGUCAGGCCUCGUGGCACUCGCCAAAUACAUAAGCGAGCCAAUAAUCUGAGAAUACCUCAGUUGAUCUCUAGCAAUCCGUCGAUUCUUUCGAAGCAACACACUAGCAUCAUAUGGAGUUGGAGAAGGCGUGCAGUCGCUAUACCCAAAACAACUCAAGACCUUUUCCACAUAAUGAGACUGAAGCAGUGUGAUCCCACCAUUCUCAUCUCUCAACAGCUUGAUGUUUAAGUUAACAUCAGUUACUCCUAGAUCCUUCAUCUCAAAACAGCGAGAUAAGAAAUCCUUAACCUCCUUGAUUAAAUCAAGUUUGGUUCCAAAGAUCAAUAUGUCGUCGACAUACAGACAAAGAAUAACUCCUUCGCCCCCAUGCUACGUCUCGAGCUAGCGUUGGUUUUCUCCGAAGAGGAGGGGGUGAUGCAGCACAGUAGCGUAAGUAUUUCCCUCAGUUUUUGAGAACCAAGGUAUCAAUCCAGUAGGAGGUCACGCGCAAGUCCCUCGUACCAACACAAAACGGUAGCAACUCGCAACCAACGCUUAGGGGUUGUCAAUCCCUUCACGGUCACUUACGAGAGUGAGAUCUGAUAGAGAUAAUAUUUUUGGUAUUUUUGGUAUAAAGAUGCAAAGUAAAAAGUAAAAGCAAAACAAGUAAAAUAAAUUAAUGGAGAUUGAUAUGAUGAGAAUAGACCCGGGGGCCAUAGGUUUCACUAGUGGCUUCUCUCAAGAGCAUAGAUAUUCUACGGUGGGUGAACAAAUUACUGUUGAGCAAUUGAUAGAAUUGAGCAUAGUUAUGAGGUUAUCUAGUUAUGAUCAUGUAUAUAGGCAUCACGUCCGUGACAACUAGACCGACUCCUGCCUGCAUCUACUACUAUUACUCCACUCAUCGACCGCUAUCCAGCAUGCAUCUAGAAUAUUAAGUUAAAAACAGAGUAACACCUUAAGCAAGAUGACAUGAUGUAGAGGAAUAAAUUCAUGCAAUAUGAUAAAUACCCCAUCUUGUUAUCCUCGAUGGCAACAAUACAAUACGUGCCUUGCAACUCUUUCUGUCACUGAGUAAGGACACCGCAAGAUUGAACCCAAAGCUAAGCACUUCUCCCAUUGCAAGAACUACCAAUCUAGUUGACCAAACCAAACGGAUAAUUCGAAGAGACUUGCAAAGAUAACUCAAUUAUACAUAAAAGAAUUCAGAGAAGAUUCAAAUAUUAUUCAUAGAUAAGUUGGAUCAUAAACCCACAAUUCAUUGGUCUUAACAAACACACCGCAAAAAGAAGAUUACAUCGAAUAGAUCUCCACGAGAGAGGGGGAGAACAUUGUAUUGAGAUCCAAAAAGAGAGAAGAAGCCAUUUAGCUACUAGCUAUGGACCCGAAGGUCUGAAGUAAACUACUCACACUUCAUCGGAAGGGCUAUAGUGUUGAUGUAGAAGCCCUCCGUGAUGGAUGCCCUCUCUGGCAGAGCUCCGGAACAGGCCCCAAAAUGGGAUCUCGUGGAUACAGGAAGUUGCGGCGGUGGAAUUAGGUUUUUGGCUCCCUCCCUGGUCUAAUGGGGGUAUGUAGGUAUAUAUAGGAGGAAGGAGCACGUCGGUGGAGCUCCGAGGGGCCCACGAGGCAGGGGCGCACCCAGGGGGCGCCCUCCACCCUCGUGACCUCCCCGGAAACUUCUUGGAGUAGGGUCCAAGUCUACUGAAUCACGUUCGGUGAGAAGAUCACGUUCCCGAAGGUUUCAUUCCGUUUGGACUCCGUUUGAUAUUCUGUUUCCUAGAAAUACUGAAAUAGGAAAAAAACAGCAAUUCUGGGCCGGGCCUCCGGUUAAUAGGUUAGUCUUAAAAAUAAUAUAAAAGUGAAAAAUAAAACCCAAUAUAGUCCAAAAUAGUAGAUAAAGUAGCAUGGAACAAUCAAAAAUUAAAGAUACGUUGGAGACGUAUCAGACAUCCCCAAGCUUAAUUCCUGCUCGUCCUCGAGUAGGUAAAUGAUAAAAAGAGAAUUUUUGAUGCGGAGUGAUACUUUGGCAUAAUUUCAAUGUAAAUCUUCUUAAUCAUGGUAUGAAUAUUCAGAUCCGAAAGGUUCAAGACAAAAGUUCAUAUUGACAUAAAAAUGAUAAUACUUCAAGCAUACUAAUCAAACAAUUAUGUCAUCUCAAAAUAACAUGGCCAAAGGAAGUUCAUCCCUACAAAAUCAUAUAGUUAGGCUAUGCUUCAUUUUCGUCACACAAAGAUGUUCCCAACUUUUAUACCCCCGAUGACAAGCCAAGCAAUUGUUUCAUACUCAAAUAAUCUCAAACUUUUUCAACCUUCACGCAAUACAUGAGCGCGAGCCAUGGACAUAGCACUAUGGGUGGUAUAGAAUAUGAUGAUGGGGAUUGUGUGGAGAAGACAAAAAAGGAGAAAGUCUCACAUCAACGAGGCUAAUCAAUGAGCUAUGGAGAUGCCCAUCAAUUGAUGUUAAUGCAAGGAGUAGGGAUUGCCAUGCAACGGAUGCACUAGAGCUAAGAAUGCUCAACAAAAGAAAACUAGUGGGUGUGCAUCCAACUUGCUUGCUCAUGAAGACCUAGGGCAUUUUGAGGAAGCUCAUCGUUGGAAUAUACAAGCCAAGUUCUAUAAUGAAAAAUUCCCACUAGUAUGAAUAAGACAACUUAUGAGACUCACUAUAUGAAAAUCAUGGUGCUACUUUGAAGCACAAUAUAUGAGACUCACUACAUGAAGAACAAGGUGCUACUUUGAAGCACAAGUGUGGAAAAAAGAGAUAGUAGCAUUGCCCUUUUUAUUUUCUCUUUUUUGGGGGGCCUUUCUUUUUUUUUUUGGCCUUUCUCUCUCUUUUUUUGAUUGGGCAAUGCUCUAAUAAUGAUGAUCAUCACACUUCUAUUGAUUACAACAUAAUGAUUACAACUCGAUACUAGAACAAGAUAUGACUCUAUAUGAAUGCCUCCGGUGGUGUACCAUGAUGGUGCAAUGAAUCAAGAGUGACAUGUAUGAAAAAUAAUGCAUGGUGGCUUUGCCACAAAUACGAUGUCAACUACAAGAUCAUGCAAUGACAAUAUGACAAAAGUAAAGCAUGUCAUGAUGAUGAUGAUGAUGAUGGAAGUUGCAUGGCAAUAUAUCUCGGAAUGGCUAUGGAAAUGCCAUGAUAGAUAGGUAUGGUGGCUGUUUUGAGGAAGGUAUAGGGAGGUUUAUGUGUGAAAGAGCGUGUCAUAUCAUGGGGUUUGGAUGCACCGGCGAAGUUUGCACCAACUCUCAAUGUGAGAAAGGGUAAUGCACGGUACCGAAGAGGCUAGCAAAUGGCGGAAAGGUAAAAGUGCGUAUAAUCCAUGGACUCAACAUUAGUCAAAAGAACUCAUAUACUUAUUACAAAAAUUUAGAAGUCAUCAAAAAUCAAGCACUACGCGCAUGCUCCUAGGGGGAUAGAUUGGUAGGAAAAGACCAUCGCUCGUCCCCGACCGCCACUCAUAAGGAUGCACAAGCCAGGUACACUUCAUGCUUUAAAUUUGUUACACAAUUUUAACCAUACGUGCAUGCUACGGGACUUGCUAACUUCAACACAAGUAUUUCUCAGAUUCACAACUACUCAACUAGCACGACUAUGAUAUUAUCACCUCCAUAUCUCAAAACAAUUAUCAAGUAUCAAACUUAUCUUAGUAUUCAACCCACUAAAAAGAAAGUUUCACAUAUCUUGAAUACCAAGUAUAUUAACAUUAAGCAAAUUACCAUGCUAUUAACGACUCUCAAAAUAAUCUAAGUGAAGCAUGAGAGAUCAAGUUUCUUUAAAACAAACCACCACCGUGCUCUAAAAGAUCUAAGUGAAGCACUAGAGCAAAAAUUAUCAUGCUCAAAAAGAUAUAAGUGAAGCACAUAGAGUAAACUAUCAAGCUCAAAAGAUAUAAGUGAAGCACAUAGAGUAUUCUACCAAAUUUCAAUUCAUGCAUGGCUCUCUCAAAAGGUGUGUACAGCAAGGAUGAUUGUGGUAGACUAACAAGAAAAGACACAAAUAAUACAAGAUGCUCCAAGCAAAACACAUAUCAUGUGGUGAAUAAAAAUAUUGCUCCAAGUAAAUUACCGAUGGAAGUGGACGAAAGAGGGGAUGCCUUCCGGGGCAUCCCCAAGCUUUGACUUUUUGGUAUCGUUGGAUUAUCUUGGGGGUGCCAUGGGCAUCCCAAGCUUAGGCUCUUGCCACUCCUUGUUCCAUAAUCCAUCAAAAGAAUUCACCCAAAACUUGAAAACUUCACAACACAAAACUCAAUAGAAAUCUCGUGAGCUCCGUUAGAGAAAGAAAAUAAAAGACUACUUUAAGGUACUGUAGUGUACUUGUUCUUUAUUUGUAUUGGUGUUAAACCUACUGUAUUCCAAUUUCUCUAUGGUUUAUAAACUAUUUUACUAGCCAUAGAUUUAUCAAAAUAAGCAAAUAACACACGCAAAACAGAAUCUGUCAAAAACAGAACAGUCUGUAGUAAUCUGUUACUAACGCAAACUUCUAGAACCCAAAAAAUUCUACCAAAAUUAGACGACCUGGGCAAUUUGUUUAUUGAUCAGCAGCAAUUGGAAUCACUAUUUUAUCACGUUCUGGUGAUUUUUGACAAUUCGGGCACUGAGCGCAAAGAUUCUGGAAAUUACAGCAAGAUCAAAUAACUAUCUUUCAAGAAGAUCUAAUAGGUUUAACUUGGCACAAACACUAAUUAAAAGAUAAAACCACAUCUAAACAGAAUAUAAAUGGAUUAUUUAUUCCUAAACAGAACCAAAAACAAAAAAUACAAAAUAAAAUUGGGUUGCCUCCCAACAAGCGCUAUCGUUUAACGCCCCUAGCUAGGCAUAAAAGCAAGGAUAGGUCUAGGUAUUGCCAUCUUUGGUAGGCAAUUCUUCAAUGAGGCAUCCACCUCCUUUAGAAUUUUCUUUCUUUCUAGUGAUUAUCAAACUUUUAGGCAUAAGAUCGAAAAAUUCAUCCGUGGCAAAUGGUUCCUUAAUGAGUGUAAAAAGAUCGGGGUGAAUACUUAUAGAUUUAAGAUCCGCAUUUUCCUUACUAGAUGAUUCACCCUUAUUUUUAGGAACAUACAUAAACUUGGCAAUUUUAGUGGGAGGACUAGGAGUAAUUUUUACGGAAGAAAAAGCAGUUCCCAAGUUGGUAAUGAUACCCUCAAGUUUAUCGAUUCGAGUAGAGUCUAGAUUUAUUUUUUUCAUUAACAAUGGGUUCCUUCUCCUUAAUAUUUUUCAAAGUCACUCCUACCUUAGAUCCAUAUUGAGUAAUUUGAUUAUGAAUCUUUUUAUCUAGAUUUUCAAUGGAUUCAAUGGUAGCAACUUUGUUUUCAAUAAUUUCAAGCAUUUGCAUAACAUGCUCCAAGGUUAACACAGUUCCAUUAACCAAAAGGGGAGGUGAGCCAAAUAAAUCUAUUAAAGCAUUAUAGGAAUCAAAAGUAUGGCUACCCAAAAAAUUCCCUCCGGUAAUGGUAUCAAGGAUAUAUCUAUACCAAGGAUUAGCACCUACAUAAAAAUUGUGAAGAAGGACUGAAGUAGAUUGCUUUCUGGUAGAUCUAUUUUGAGCAUUGCAAAUUCUAUACCAAGCAUCUUUUAGAUUUUCUCCCUCCCUUUGUUUAAAAUUUAGCACUUCAUUCUCGGGAGAUAACGGAGAAGAUAAGGAAUUCGACAUAGCGACAGGUAAGCAAACUAACACACGAGCAAACAAAAGGCAAAGGGAAAGAGAGGGCGAAUAAAGCGGCAAAGGUGAAGUGGGGGAGAGGAAAACGAGAGGCAAAUGGCAAAUAAUGUAAUGCGAGAGAUAGAGAUUGUGAUGGGUACUUGGUAUGUUGACUUUUGCGUAGGCUUCCCCGGCAACGGCGCCAGAAAUGGCUCGUUGACGGGAGAGUAAAUCUUGACUUGACUUGGCAUAGGCCUCCCCGGCAACGGCGCCAGAAAUGGCUCGUUGACGGGAGAGUAAAUCUUGACUUGACUUGGCGUAGGCCUCCCCGACAACGGCGCCAGAAAUCCUUCUUGCUAUGUCUCGAGCUAGCGUUGGUUUUCCCCGAAGAAGAGGGGGUGAUGCAGCACAGUAGCGUAAGUAUUUCCCUCAGUUUUUGAGAACCAAGGUAUCAAUCCAGUAGGAGGUCACGCGCAAGUCCCUCGUACCUGCACAAAACGGUAGCAACUCGCAACCAACACUUAGGGGUUGUCAAUCCCUUCAUGGUCACUUACGAGAGUGAGAUCUGAUAGAGAUAAUUUUUUUGGUAUUUUUGGUAUAAAGAUGCAAAGUAAAAAGUAAAAGCAAAACAAGUAAAAUAAAGUAAUGGAGAUUGAUAUGAUGAGAAUAGACCCGGGGGCCAUAGGUUUCACUAGUGGCUUCUCUCAAGAGCAUAGAUAUUCUACGGUGGGUGAACAAAUUACUGUUGAGCAAUUGAUAGAAUUGAGCAUAGUUAUGAGGUUAUCUAGGUAUGAUCAUGUAUAUAGGCAUCACGUCCGUGACAAGUAGACCGACUCCUGCCUGCAUCUACUACUAUUACUCCACUCAUCGACUGCUAUCCAGCAUGCAUCUAGAGUAUUAAGUUAAAAACAGAGUAACGCCUUAAGCAAGAUGACAUGAUGUAGAGGAAUAAAUUCAUGCAAUAUGAUAAAUACCCCAUCUUGUUAUCCUUGAUGGCAACAAUAUAAUACGUGCCUUGCAACUCUUUCUGUCACUGAGUAAGGACACCGCAAGAUUGAACCCAAAGCUAAGCACUUCUCCUAUUGCAAGAACUACCAAUCUAGUUGGCCAAACCAAACGGAUAAUUCGAAGAGACUUGCAAAGAUAACUCAAUCAUACAUAAAAGAAUUCAGAGAAGAUUCAAAUAUUAUUCAUAGAUAAGUUGGAUCAUAAACCCACAAUUCAUCGGUCUCAACAAACACACCGCAAAAAGAAGAUUACAUCGAAUAGAUCUCCACGAGAGAGGGGGAGAAUAUUGUAUUGAGAUCCAAAAAGAGAGAAAAGGCCAUCUAGCUACUAGCUAUGGACCCUAAGGUCUGAAGUAAACUACUCACACUUCAUCGGAAGGGCUAUGGUGUUGAUGUAGAAGCCCUCCAUGAUGGAUGCCCUCUCCGGCGGAGCUCCGGAACAGGCCCCAAGAUGGGAUCUCGUGGAUACAGGAAGUUGCGGUGGUGGAAUUAGGUUUUUGGCUCCCUCCCUGGUCUAAUGGGGGUACGUAGGUAUAUAUAGGAGGAAGGAGCACGUCGGUGGAGCUCCGAGGGGCCCAUGAGGUAGGGGGGCGCGCCCAGGGGGGCGCCCUCCACCCUCGUGACCUCCCCGGUAACUUUUUGGAGUAGGGUCCAAGUCUCCUGGAUCAUGUUUGGUGAGAAGAUCACGUUCCCGAAGGUUUCAUUCCGUUUGGACUCCGUUUGAUAUUCUGUUUCCUCGAAAUACUGAAAUAGGGAAAAAACAGCAAUUCUGGGCUGGGCCUCCAGUUAAUAGGUUAGUCCCAAAAAUAAUAUAAAAGUGGAAAAUAAAGCCCAAUAUAGUCCAAAACAGUAGAUAAAAUAGCAUGGAGCAAUCAAAAAUUAUAGAUACGUUGGAGACGUAUCACCCCACCAUAGCGAUAGUACACGCACUUGUCACCAUCGUUUACUACAAAGCCGGCAGCAGUUAAUGUUCUUUCGAACUUCUCAUGCCACUCCUUAGGAGCUUGUUUAAGGCCAUAUAAAGACUUUAAUAACUUGCACACCUUUCCUUCUUGACCAGGUACUACAAAACCAUCUGGCUGAUCCAUGUAAAUUUCCUCCUUCAACUCUCCAUUGAGGAAAGCCGUCUUAACGUCCAUUUGAUGAACGAGAAGACCAUGUGAGGCAGCCAGUGAUAGUAGCACCCGAAUUGUGGUCAGUCUAGCCACGGGUGAGUAAGUAUCAAAGAAGUCUUCACCUUCUUCCUGGGUAUAACCCUUGGCCACAAGCCGUGCCUUAUACUUUUCAAUCAUACCAUCAGGUGUAAGCUUCUUCUUGAACACCCACUUACAUCCUACAGGUUUGCACCCAUAAGGACGGUCAGUGAUCUCCCAGGUACCGUUAGCUAAGAUGGAAUCCAUCUCGCUAUGUAUAGCUUCCUUCCAGUAGUCAGCAUCAGGAGAUGCAUAGGCUUCUGAAAUAGUCCUGGGUGUGUCAUCCACGAGGUACACAAUGAAAUCAUCACCAAAAGACUUUGUAGUGCUCUGUCUCUUACUCCUCAUAGGAGUUCCAUUGUUACCCUCAACAGGAUUCUCAACGUGUUCCAUCGCAAUGGUGGGUUCAGGAAUUACAGUGAAUUCCUCACUAGAUGGAGUAGGUAUCUCCUGAUUUGAUGAACUCGACAUAUCCUUCAUAGGAAAUAUGUCCUCAAAGAAAAUUGCAUCAUUUGAUUCCAUAAUCGUACCAACAUGCAUGUCGGAUACCUCAGAUUUUAUUAUCAAAAAUCUAUAGCCGAUGCUAUGAAAAGCAUAGCCCAGAAGAACACAAUUCACGGUUUUUGGUCCAAGCUUGCGCUUCUUGGGAAUUGGUAUAUUGACUUUCGCCAAACAACCCCAAGUACGUAGGUAAGAGAGUUUCAACAUUUUCCUUUCCCAUUCCUCAAAUGGAGUCAUGGUCUUAUGCUUUGUAGGAACUCGGUUUAGGACAUGACACGCAGUCAUUAGCGCCUCCCCCCACAAUUCCUUGGAUAGACCCGAAGUGUCUAACAUGGUGUUAACCAUAUCAGUUAGAGUUCGGUUAUUUCUUUCGACUACCCCAUUUGACUGGGGUGAGUAGGGAGGCGUCCUCUCAUGGAUUAUACCAUGUUCCACAUAAAACAGAUCAAAUUCAUUGGAAAAAUACUCUCCACCACGAUCGGACCUAAGCCGUUUAAUUUUUCGAUCAAGUUGGUUCUCUACCUCAGCUUUAUAGUUUUUAAAGAAAGUCAAAGCCUCAUCUUUUGAUUUCAGAAGAUACACAUAACAAUAUCUAGUGGAGUCAUCAAUCAACGUCAUGAAGUAUCUCUUUCCACCUUUUGUCAACACGCCAUUCAUCUCACAAAGAUCAGAAUGUAUAAGCUCUAGUGGCGCCAAGUCUCUUGCCUCUGCAGUCUUAUGGGACUUGCGAAGUUGCUUAGUUUGCACACAUACUUGGCACUUCGAGCCUUUGACAGUAGAGAUUUUCGGAAUUAAAUUCAUAUUGGCUAACCGCGUCAUGCAACCAAAGUUAAUAUGACAGAGUCGUGAAUGCCAAAUAUCAGACUCAUUAUUGUGGCAAACAUUAUUAAUAACUUUAGUGCAAAUAUCUGACAAAGAUAGGCGGAACAAGCCUCCGCACUCAUAGCCUUUUUCAACAAAUUGUCCACACUUAGAAAUUACAACUUUAUUCGAUUCGAAAACCAAUUUAAAACCAUCUCGACAUAAACGGGAACCGCUAACGAGAUUUUUAUUGAUGGACGGCACAUGAUGAACGUUCUUCAGACGCACAGUCUUCCCCGAAGUAAACUUCAGAUCGACCGUACCAACACCUCGAACGAUGGCAUGUGACCCGUUCCCCAUCAGCACGGGUGAAGUCCCUGUUGCCUGAUAAGAAGAAAAUAUGAAGGCGUCAGCACAAACAUGUACAUUGGCACCGGUGUCAAUUAACCAAUCAGGGGAUUGAAAUACUGAAAGGAUGGUAGGAAAAAUACCGUACCCUGAUUCCUUCAUAUCAGUAUCACCGAUGACAACAUUAGCGGACUUGCCGCUCUUCUCAUGUUCGCGCUCCUCAAAACGGUUAGGACACUUCGGAGCCCAGUGAUUAGGAUCACCGCAGACAUGCCAAAGUCCCUUCCCCUUUUUAUGAGAAUUCUUCUUGAAGUUGGUAGAAUAUGAUGGCUUGUUCUUUAUAUCAAACUUGUCUUUACCCUGAGUUUUGUUCUUAUUGUUUUUGAACUUGUUGGGCUGGGAGUUUUUCUUCUGUACCAUGUGGGCACUAGAACCUUCCUCAGCAACGCGAGCACGUGUGUCCUUUGCUCUCGCCUUCUCUUCAACAUCAAGACUACCAAUGAGAUCCGCAACGGAAAACUCCUGUCUCUUGUGUUUCAGGGGAGUAGCAAAAUUCUUCCACGAAGGUGGAAGCUUGGCAAUGAUGCCUCCGGCAACACACACUUGAAGUACUCAAGUUCUUUUGCGAGCGACUGUAUCUCAUGAGCCUGCUGUACAACAGGGCGCUCAUCAGUCAUCUUGUAGUCAUAGAAUUGCUCCAUGACGUACAACUCGUUGCCGGCGUCCGAGGCACCAAACUUGGCCUCGAGCGCAGCCCACAUGUCCUUGCCGUUGUCAAACGACAUAUACGAAUCCACAAUGGAGUCAUCAAGAACACUCAGAAGAGCGCCUUUAAAGAGGGUAUCGAUCUUCUCAAAAGCUUCCAGCUGUGCUGGAUUAAGAUCGCCCUCAGGCUUGCCCUUGAUGGCAUCAUAGCAGCCCAUGGUCUGAAACCAGUAGACUGCUCUCGUGUGCCACCUCUUAUAUUGCGGCCCCUUAAAAGCAGGCGGCUUCAGAUGCGCAGUAAAACCACUCGGAGUAAAUUGCCUAUAAUCAGGUUUUUGGAUUGUUGGAAAUAUGAGCAAAUUACUACGAGAUUUAAUCCGAAUAAACAAAAGAUAAAUCAUGACCACAACAGCAGAGAUUAAACUAAUCAUGCGAACUAGCAUAGCAGAUGAACAUAUCACAUCUAGGACACAUACUAGAAGCAUGAAUUCUACCACGAUCUUGAACAUGAAGGAUAGAAUCACAUACGGUGCAGCGGGUGCAGCACCGCCGGUGUUGACGUUGUCGCCCAUGUCGUCGAGGACGAGGUUGCCGAGGUCGGGGAAGAAGUCGUCGUUCGCGAAGUCGUCGCUACCAGCAGUCGCGCGAGUGCGCUCCCCAAAAACCUGAUCGCCCCUCUCCCGUACAGGAUCAUGAGAGGCGGGGUUCCGGAGGCCUGUUGUCCCUUCUCGCGGUGCACGCCGGAAGGAGGGAUGGAGAAGACUUGCUUGGUGGCGCAAUGAUCUGGAACGGUGUGGUGAGAAACCAUACGAAGCGGCGGCGGCUAGGGUAGACGUCUGCCUGACUAUAUAGUGCGGGUCGGGUAGGUCGUGGGAGUAAACCCCACGUCCGAGUCGUCACGAUCCAAAAGAAUCGAAAACAGUUCAGUAAUUAACGCAUCCGUUAAUUAUCAAUUAAUGACUCAUUAAUUUUCCCAUGCAGCAAAAAUAUAGACAACGUGCAUAGCUCUGCCCUCGGCUCGGCUCAAUCCCGCAACCCGCGGCGCGGCGCGGCGCGGCGCGUCGUGACGAGGCGUGGCGAGGCGAGCGAGUGUAAGUCUCCUCUUCUCAUGCUCAUACAAGUGGUAGAAGAGCUCACCUUAUAAAGAGGUGCAACUCUCUCUCAACUUCUGGGGUGGGACUAAACUUUAACCUCACUCACUCCGUUCACAUGUGUGCAUGAAUGGUCCAAGAGAAUUUCAGAAUUUUAGUUGGGCUUUGAGCCAAAGUCCUACUAGCAAAAUUCCAACAGGUUCAGCCCAUCAACCUGUGAAAGUAAACACCUGUGACUUUGCAAUGUUUAGUUGAGGUAAGGGUAUCCUCAAAAAAAAAAAAGUUGAGGUAAGGGUGGAGAAAAUAACCAUCGAGCGAAUGUGACCACUCAUUCCAAGAUGGUUUACUGAUUUACGUGCGUGGUUCUUCCUGUACGAUCGGACCGAAUGUGCGAGUGUCAAAUCAUCAAACAUCGUCAUCUUUCUCACCGAAAGAUCGAUAGCCCACACUGUCUCGUCAUUUCGUGAUGUACGUCGUUGCCUGAUAUACAUCUUUUUUUUCUGCUUAGUAAAUAAAACUUACAAAACUAACAAGAGGUUGUACAUUGUGUAUGUGUGCACGCGCGCAUCGUGGGGCACUUAUAAGAAGAACAUCUUUCUAGAAAAAUAGACAUAAAAUAGAGCUCCUUGUUUUGAUCAUUUGAUGAUAGCAUCAACCAGCUAAGAUUAGUUGCCUACAUAAUUAAUACCUUCGGAAUGAAAUGAUUGGUUUGGUGCUGAUCAAUGGAGCGCACGUUGUCCUCACCAAUUCUAUAUAGGGCCGUUGGUAGAUGAUUGGGUUGCUAUCAGCGUUUCUCCAUCAAAAUUUUGGGUUUACGACAGAACGAAACGAGAAAGAAAUCACACUAACACAGACGGUUGGAAAAACAAGAGAAAUUGCUACUAUCAAGCUAUCUCUUCCAUGUGUUCUUCAUGCACAUUGUUUGGCUUGCAAGUUUUGGUCUCCUGCCUGUUAUGUUAGCUAGAAGGAGAUAAAGUUCUUGGUCCCCUACGAAAAAUAGGUUUACUUGGGAGGACAAUGGUGUACAGCAUAACCCAAACCUUUCUCAAAACCUAAAGCUCCACACGUUCACAUUGCUCCAUUUGGUCCAUAGGGUAUACCUAACGUGCCAAAUCUUUCCAAAACCUAAUGUGCCGUUCCUUUCCUUCUCAAAAUGUCCACCUUGUUCCAUAAGAUAAAUCCAAAGAUUUCCAACCUAAACCGAGCCCUUCCAAAACCCAACGCUCCACUCCUCCAACGUUCAUAUUCUUUGGACAGAAGAUACACACGAUUGCACCUGUCUCGUUCCUAACAACCAUGUGGAAGAGUGUGAUUAUGUGGGUAGACAUGCAGCUCUGAAUCAAACCGACAAAAAGAAGCCCCUGCCUGAAAGCAAGAGUUCAAUGGAAAUAUGGACUGGUCGCAACGAUGGAUGGUCCCUAAAAACUUACUCUCAAGACCAAGUUAAUUUAUGAUUUUCAUAGUAACUUUGUCGAAACUCAUGUUUCAUUCCUUACUAAACUGGAGUCACUAUCUAAUUAUAAGAAACUCAUUUCAAACAUGCAACAAAUCUGUUGAAUACUUGAAUUAUUGUGCCUCCUUUUUAAGGCAUAAUUUGUGAUUGCCGAACUGUGUUUUUAGGACAAUUUCAUAAUUACCAUGUAAAAUUAGUCACAAAAGUAGACAAAAGUGGUUCAAACACACGCUCGAAUAGGCAAAAACAGAUUAGGCAACACAAGGUUAUCAUAAACCACCACAAUACCAAACUUAGCAAGUAAAGCUGACUUUUUCCUAGACAAGGAAAAUGCAACGCGUAUAUGACAACGAUGUCAGAACAAGCCAGUAAAGGCAAGAACACGAGUUUUCAUCUAGAGAUCACCUCCAGAAACCGAAGAUAACGCCAUCAAGGAGAUGACGUAAGAGCAAUGUCGUUACCAAGUCUAGCCGAUAAAGACCAUAUCGAGUCUUUUGGCUUGGCGCACAAAAUCUAACAUCACUUGAUCCAACCAAUGAAGGCAGACUUAUUCCCGACGAUUGCGUCAAUGUGCAUCUAGAUUUGGCAUCAUCCGAUGACAUGCUAUGAAGGGGUCGCCACUCCGCCCUCGAUGCCCCUGCGACUACCCAUCGGUGCCACCGCCCUGGCUUCCAUGCCAUAAUCCACCGUGAGACAUCCUCUAACGGGCAACCACCAUGAAGGGAGAUCAACAAGAGCCCUACCACCGCCAUCCGUCGCAAGAUCUUUGCUCAUGGCAUCCCCCGGCGGAGGAGGAGGAGGAGGUUGGAGGGAGGUAUGGUAGAGACGCUAACUUCCUUAACUCCAUUUUUUAUGUAAUAAAAAAGAUAGAGAAAUGUGCCAACCAAUCUCUGUAUCUAAAAAUGUACACGACCAACGAAUAUUAUUGACCUUCUGAACGAUGAUAAACAAACCCAUAUUUCCAUUGUUCUAGGCCGUGAGUUGCCAACAAACAUCCCGAUCCUGCCCGGAAUAUUAUCCACCGAAUGACAUCUGAUCCGAUCCCAUUUAACAAGAGCAAACUUGCCAAAAACAAGUCCGUUGGUUCGAUCAAAGCCUCGUCAGGUCCAUGGAAAACGGGCUGUGGCCAGGGUGGAAGAUUCCGGCCGGUCGGCCAGCCGCAGCCAGCCGCGGUGUGGUACAGAGCUACGUGACGCCGACGUACCAACCAAGCGAAGACAACCACCGUCUUCCGAGUGAAAUGAAAUCGACGACUACGUGGGUGCCAAGGCCGCUACGUGACGGCCGCGAACUCUGCUGGGCACUGUGAUAAAAAGUCGUCGAGGUGUCGUCUCCCAUGGCCUUGUUGCAUGCCCACGAAGCAUGUAGUGCUGCACAGUUGUAUAAAAACCGGAGAUGCCGCGUGGGCCACGGAGCUUAUGGUAGAUGUCAUAAAAGAUCAGUGCGCAGCUAGGCAUUUUGCUUGGCCGCUCAUCAAAGUGUUUACGAAGGCAUUGGCUCUGACAAAUGGAUAGCAAAUCUCAUGCUACAUCAGGUAAAAGUGGGCAUUGCCUAAAACCAAAGGUAAAAGUGGGCAUAGUUUUCUUACCAAUUCCUGCGCUGUGUUCGGGAGAUUCCGUUCAGCAGUCGGUUGGAAGAAGGCCUUCACUGUUCGGAAGAAAGGGGGUGCCUAAACCAGCUUGACAUAAUCAUAGACUGAAUGGGUCGUCGACAAAAUGAUUGGGAAUUUUUCCCAGACAAUUUCAAAAUUCCACCACCCGUUGGUUAAUCAAGAGGUGGUGGGUACUAGUAGCAGUACUAGCGAAGCAGCCGCCAUCAGAAAAAACAAUAGCACGAGCCAAAUCAGAAAGACAGCCGCUGCUUGCAAAGCAUGCCNNNNNNNNNNNNNNNNNNNNNNNNNNNNNNNNNNNNNNNNNNNNNNNNNNNNNNNNNNNNNNNNNNNNNNNNNNNNNNNNNNNNNNNNNNNNNNNNNNNNNNNNNNNNNNNNNNNNNNNNNNNNNNNNNNNNNNNNNNNNNNNNNNNNNNNNNNNNNNNNNNNNNNNNNNNNNNNNNNNNNNNNNNNNNNNNNNNNNNNNNNNNNNNNNNNNNNNNNNNNNNNNNNNNNNNNNNNNNNNNNNNNNNNNNNNNNNNNNNNNNNNNNNNNNNNNNNNNNNNNNNNNNNNNNNNNNNNNNNNNNNNNNNNNNNNNNNNNNNNNNNNNNNNNNNNNNNNNNNNNNNNNNNNNNNNNNNNNNNNNNNNNNNNNNNNNNNNNNNNNNNNNNNNNNNNNNNNNNNNNNNNNNNNNNNNNNNNNNNGGACAGCUAAGUUCGCCGGUGAUUCGCUCGUCUAAAGGUCACUCACCUAGCUUCAUUUCGUUGUAUUUCCUCGUGUCUGGAGCCUGAUGGGAGGUUAGUUAGGUGGUCGCCAAUGAUUGAGGAUUACCUGGCUGUGAUGGGAGGAGCUGGCUGGCCACAUUGGUGGCCUUCAGGUGAGAUGGACACGGGAACUCCAUCACAUGCCCCGGUUCAAGCAGCGGCCCCAUCCCUGCCCGGCGAUCCCUGUUGGGGAAGCUGUAGCAUUUCUCAUGCCGCACAUGUAGAAAUCUCCUGCAUGCCAACCGCCAUCGCCGUCGGUCCAGUGCGCGAUGAGCAUGGCACCAGCACGGCGUGGUCGCAAUCGCUACAGGCGGCUACAGGCAAGAACUCGGGGCAGUAUGUUAGUUCAGAGAAUUGAUGAAAUGAAAAUACCAGAACUUACCAUCAACUUCUAGCAUCAUGCCUCAUGGCUCCAUGCUCAAGAUAUUGCAAUGGGGCCUUUCAAGGCAAAUGCACCCCUCGUAUCUUUAUUCUAGAAUGUUAUAAUGUCACAAAGGCACAAAUUAAGUUGCAAACGAGGGCAUUCCGUGCCACAUUAUUAUAGGAACAAAGAGCUUGGUAGCCAUUCGCUGGGCAUUUGAAGAAUGAAAGAACAGAUAGCUAUGGACUAGAUUCCCUCGAGACUUCUUAUCCUCAGCUAAAUGACUAGCAACUUCAGUCUACUUACAUGUGGAACAGUGGAAACAAAGUGUGCCAUUAUUAGACAAAGUUCUAUAUACCAGUUGCAACUGUAGCUUCCGUCGAUCGAUUUCACAGAGAUGCGCCCGACUCCCAGCUCAAGAGUUUGUCACGCUUUGCAGCAGGCGUUGUCUAGGGCUCGGAGGGUAAGAUCAGCAUACUGUUUUUACCAACCGACAAGUCACCAAAAUGAGUCGAAACUGACAUUAUUCUCAUGCUUCCUUCAGACUCUGGCUUGUCUACUCCAAUCUAUGGGCUUGCCUUGAGCAAGAUGGAAGAGAAUGGAGCAAUUCUAUACCCUGAUCCAGUAAGUGGCACCCCUUCCGGUGCAAUAUCGUUUGGUGAUUCCAGGUUGGUAUCCACCUGCAAUAAGGACACAAUAGCAGUUUCAGGCUAAUUAUCCAUUAAACUUGUACUCCGUCCAAUCCAUAUUAAUUGACGCUGCUCUAGUACAAAGUUAGUACAACAUUAUACUAUAGCAGCGUCAAUUAAUAUGGAUCGAAGGGAGUAGCAAGUUCAGAACUAAGCCACUUGCUUCCAGAAAAUUGCAAAAAUCUGUCUUUCUCGGAAAACAUUGUGGAAAAAAAUCAGUAGAUUUAUCCAGGCAAUAGAUGUAGUAGCACGGGAGGAACUAGACAGUAAGACCACCGAGUUACAAAAAGUUAGCAAGACCAAAAGUAUGCAUACCACACGGUUCCAGUGUUUAUGUUGAGGGGCUGGGGGAAUCACAGCAUCCACAGAAUAGUCAUGGGCAUUGAAUGCCAAAUAGAUAUCUCCACCAGAAUUAUGGUCGUGUAUCCUACAUUAAUUGCCAAACAAAACAGUUGAGAAGACAAGAACCCAUUGGCCAUUGCAACCAAAUUACAACAAUACUAUCAUAUGGUCAGAAUGAAUUACACGAUCAAAACUGAAAGCCAAACUUCCUUACGUGAAUGCCAAGAAUUUGCUUUCCAGGUUAUCCCAACAAUCCUCGUGCCAAGUGACAUCAUUCUACAAUCAAGAAAGAUCAGAAUGCAAUGAAAAUCUUUGGAAGAAAAAUCAAACCAAGAGUUGCAUACUUGCAUCCUACAAAAGCUAGGAAUUGUCGUUUCUAACAUGCAAUGCACAAUAAGAGACCAGGGAGAUCACAUACUUAGCAAAUGCUCGACAGAAACUAAUAACCAUAUUUCAGUAAAGGAAGAAAUGUUUAUUUUCAAUACGCCACUGCAAGAACACUAAGAAUUUGAACAUACUUUACUGAGAAACCUGUCCCGUUUCAGUAUUGGGUGGUUCUGACGAAACUUAAUCAUCUCUGAGAAAAACCUGAAAUGGCCAUAUCUUCUUUCCGCCAACUGUAUCACACGGACACGGGGGGAAACAAGUUAGCAUAUAGAUGUGGCACAUCCAUAACACAUUUUGAAUGGAAAACCAAAAUAAUAUGUAACCUGUCCCCACUGGAAAUUAUUUAUGCAGGUAUCAUGUCCAUAGCUAUUAUUGUUUCCAUAACGUGUAUGACCAUAUUCAUCUCCCAUCAACAUCAUCGGGGUGCCCUGUUACAAAAAAAUGUACACAAUUAGCAAUUUUUACAUUAUGCAAUACCACGUAAAAGACCAACUGUGGAGUGAUCAACAAUAAUUACUUGAGAAAUCAUUAAUGCCACAUGGAAGUUCUUCAUUUGUCUCGAACGCAGAGCCAAUACAUUUGAAUCAUUUGUUUCUCCUGUUUGGCAACAAGACCAAAAUAGGUUGUUACCAACAGUUAAUAUGUCAAAUCUUUCAAAAACAAGCAUCGAAUAUAUCAAUAUUUACAUAACAUGAUGGCGUUAAGUGAAACAAACUCAACUAAUGUUCCCUCCAAAAUAUGAUAACCAUCCAUGGUUGUAUUUUUUCCGAGAAAACAGAAAGCUUGCAUUUCGAUGCAUUGAUAUAGAAAGAGUAGUAACCGUAGAAGCCUAAGACUACGCUGAAGCAACCGACCACUCAAGACAAGACCACAACCAACGGUCGCAAGACAGGCAUUACAACAAACAUCACCAAACCAACCCUGGCCUAGAUGCCAUCCACACAAACGGACAGAACACGAUGCCCAUCACAAGAAGAGAGAAUCCAACUCCGCAAAGAAGGGCAGAAUUGGGCUACUCCGCUUUGGAGGCGACAUAGUUGUAUUUGGUCUAAUCGUGAUACAAAAGCUCCAGUACUAAGACUAUGCAUGAGUCCUGUCAAGUGUCAAGCAUACUACAAAAUUAAUUUUAAACUAAAAGAGCAUUUUGUGUUCUCCUUGUUGUGCAAUACUAUACUUCAGUCAAAUAUCUUAAGAACGGCGGCUCUGGAGAUCGCCUCUGUGUGGUUGGGUGUCUCCUCUGGCUGCUUUGGUGGUUGAGUCGUCGACCCAUUGGGUGCGCGGCCUCGGGGCCCGUGUGCUGUGUUGCUGAUGUUUGUAAGCCGGAGGGGCGACUCCGGGUCGUGUGGUAGGGUGUCGACUAGGGUCACUUGGGUGGCAGAGUAGUCGGCCAGUUGGGGGCGCAGCCUCAGGGCCGGUGUGUUUGUAUGGCUCGUUGUAUCGGUUUUCAGCCACUUUUCCUUCCUAACUAGCCAAUUCUCUUCUUAUAUAUGAAAAGGCAGAGCUCCUUGCUUGCUCGAAGAAAAGAAAAAAACUCGCUUUUCAGCUGCUAAUUUCAAUGUGAAGAGCAACGCAUGAUAAUGAGUAAUGAUGGUACCUUCAACACCACAGUUCCAGCUAAAAUUAUCAUUGCAUCCAUCACGUCCACCUUCUCCAUUAGCGUCGUUGUGCUAUAUAAUUUUGGUCGAACAGAAACCAUAUUAACAUAGACACCAGUACUUGUAUAGAAGGACCUUAACUUUAUAGUGUUUUGGUAUACUCAAGUUACCUUUAAGUUGUAUGAAACAAGGUCACAUAAGGUGAACCCAUCAUGUGCUAUUAUAAAGUUCACACCAUGAUGAGGCUUCCGCUGGUUCACCUGCCAAUCAAUAUCACAUCAAAACUUGAUUUUACACGUCAUCCUGUUUUGAACUAUGUAAUCCUAAAUCUUCCACAUAAAAAGAAGUCUCAAAGCUUAUUCACAAGAGGCUCCUAGCACCUCCAUACAUAGAGAACUGGUUUAAAUUUCGAAAUGACAUCUCCAACAAUACCGUUUAGCAUUUGAGUGGAUCUUGGAGGAAUUAAUCAGAAUGAGCAUUGAAAACAGUGCAAUUAGAAUUGCAUACAAAAUAAAUUUGGAGGUUGCAUAUGUUAAUAGCAUAAGCUGCACCCUGAUGACACUAUGGAAAUAGCAAGUGUAUAGUUUCAACUUUCAACAACAAUGAAGGCUUAAGCUCAGGAAUUUCUUUUUCGCAAACACACACAUAAAUGUGUGUUUCCUGUAUUUAGCUUAGGGAUUUACAAAUACUUUAAAAAUUACUACAAAACAUCAAGAAACAGGGCUCCAAAAGAAAUUAUGUAUAGUGAUGAUAUAACCAAGCAAGGAAAAUCUUCAACUGAUGGAUAAAAAGGCAGGCAGGGAAAGAGCGCAUCUGAACAAAAUACCUGGUAGAGAUCAGCAGAUCCAGACACACGAGUUGCCAACACCCCCUUCAUACCAGGGUCACCCUGCAAAAACCCUCGAAAUGAUUAGCGGCAUUCAAUCAUUCAUCAGUGCUUGCAGAAAUAAAAUUGGAAAUAUAACAAAGAAAUUAAUCAGGACAAACUCUUUUGCAGAAGUGCACUCUAAAUUCAGAUCAAACGUUAUCAAAAUCCACUGAUGCUAAAAAGGAAAUAUCUUGGUUUUGUAGGUCUUUGAUGAUUUAGUUAUGAUUGAUUCAAAGACAUUAUGCUAUGGAAAGCAUGAGCGAGUGGAAGCAACAGCAGUCCAUGGAAAAUUGGGUCAGUAAAUUUGAACAGGCCGAGGAGCCUCAUACAUUCUUGAAAAUUCUAUAUUCUUCUGUGGUAAUCUUUCUCUCUGUUCUGGGCUUCUGGCCUUUUUUUAUCUUUCUAAGUUUUAUAUCUAUAACUUGGUUUUUGUCAAUAUAAAUGUAAGAGGAUACUUAUUUUCGCCACGACAAAAAGGUCAUGAACAAAGCCAUCUAAUGAUCUGUCUUAAGAAUAUACGGAAACAAUCGGGAUUUUGGAGAAUGGUAAAGAUCAGGAUCGGGAUUUAGCAAACAGUACCUUGAUGAACCUUCGAAGAUCGUCUCUGUACUUUCCAUUCCAUUCAGCCCACCUACAAGAGCAUUUGAUUAUAUCUUAGAAAUAUUGGCAAUAUUCACCAACAACAUUGAAACAUAUUCAGGUCUUCAUAUAUUUGAAAUUACCGGCAACAACUUUAGGCAACAAAAGGGACCACCAUAUGAAAAGGAGUACAGUUGUUAAGUACUCCCUCCGUCCCAUAAUAUAAGAGCUUUUUUGACACUGCACUAAUGUUAAAAAUGCUCUUAUAUUAUGGGACGGAGGGGGUAAUUUAUAAAUAAUCAUCAGAGCAUUACAUCAGCUAUGUUAGAAAAACAGCAACUCUUUGUGCUACACUAUCAUCGCAAUGUGAAAAUAGUUUAGUGCUAAAGAGGAAACAGAAGUAAGAAAAAUAUACAUAUCCAGUAAUUUCAAUACACAUAGUGCAAAAUUACCUGUCCCAAUUAGGGAAACGCCCUACUAGAUAAAGACCUCCACAAUCCCAAGGUUCAGCAAUUAUCUUGCAUCGAGAUAACACAGAAUCUUUGGCAAUUUCCUGUGACCAGCAAAAUAAACAAUGAAACAAAAUAACAACAAACAUCAUAGGCUGAUAAUUCUACAAAAACACUAAUGCAGGCUAUCAGAUGAACAUUGCAGUCUUGAGAAGGUGUGAUAUAUCAUUUGCAAUUGCAUAAAUGUAAGGGGACAUUCAAAAGGUCACACAUUCAUAGGACCCUCAGGUUCCUCUAAAUCUACUUCAUUAAUGAAGAGCUGAAUAUCUGAUGAUGAAAUUUUGCAUGAUUGAACUAAAUAUCUGCCCGACAAAUAGUUCAACAACUGAGAAAGACAAAGCAAAUACAGCAUACAAUGUUGUGAAGUCAAUAAAUUUCAAGGUGACAUUGGUUCAUGUGAAUUCAUUAGGUCACAAUUUGUAUCUGAUCAACCAUAGUAAGAUAUGGACAAUAGUUAAUCUAAGAACUUAUGUCUUGUGUUUUUAUGAUAUCAAUGAACUUCAUUUGACUAAAAAGAGGAAAAUUGUAUCUCUGAUUUGAAGUUAAACACUACAGUUCUGCAACUAUAAAAUUACCCUGAUGAGUGGAGGAGCAUCAAGAGGACUGCCAUCUGGUCCACGGCAAAGGACACUUGCAAGGUCAAACCGAAAUCCAUCUAUGUGAUACUCCGUAACCCUUGAAGCAUCAAAUAGCCAUGCAAAUAAGAAAACAUACUUAAAAUAUGAUGAAUUCUUUGAAAAAAGAGAUCAUAAGAAAAUACUUGGUCUGAAUUUUGUAUCAAGAUAUGAAUGAACUACAACAGUGCAUUUUUCUUGAUCCUUUGGCUGCCUUGCACUAAUACAUUUAAUAUAGGAUUUGUCAGUGCAUACAAUACUUUGAUAAGGAGAUCCCUAGCGACAUCACUCGUUCAAGGUUGAAAAUACUUAGUCGGUCCACUCACAAAGCACAAGAGUCACCCACCUAGACUCCCAUGAGAAUUGGUUGCUACCUGAUGCUUCUACACCAUGUGUACUAAGGAGUGAGGGAACAAGAAUGAUUGGCAAGCGAGGCUCAGUCUGGAGGCACAGCAAGCAACCGGUCCAACCAGAAACUCAGUGUGGGUUAGACAGGUCACACAUUUUUUUGGUCUAGCCUGUUCCGAUUGAACUGGCUCCUAUUCACUUCGCUGGUGUGAGUGGGUAUAGAAGCAGAAGCCCACCUCUUUUAAGAACAAAUGGAAGUCAUGAGCUUCGCUCCCCUCCUAUGGUUACAGCUUCCAUGUCACCCUAGGAUUGGGAGUUCCGGAGUUUCCCCGCCAAUGUUUUUGUUUCGUGUGCAAGAACCGUUUGUUGGGUGAGUUCUUGCUCAAAGGCUAUGACAUUGGCACUUGUUGCUGGCAUCAAUUGCUCAAGCAACUCGAGUCAUCCAUUCCCAUUGCCUGAAGGCCAGGCCUCCCCGUAUAUUAACUGAAGAAGUCAAGUGACCUCAUCAACUAUAACGUGUCACAACCCAGAUGAUUUGAUGGCUAUGAAUUAAUGUGUGCAGUGUGUACUGCAACAUAGAGGUAGUUUUCAGUAAUUUCAGUCUAUAAGUAUCAUCUUGAUUUGAUCAUAUAGAUCCGACAGUUCAAUUCCACAUGCAUAUUUACUCCCUCCGUCCCAAAAUUCUUGUCUUAGAUUUGUCUAAAUACGGAUGUAUCAAGUCAAGUUUUAGUAUUAGAUAUAUCCGUAUCUAGACAAAUCUAAGACAAGAAUUUUGGGACAGAGGGAGUAUUUACUUGUUAGCACUUGAUUGUGAGAGUGGAACACAUGUAUAAACAGGUGCUAUCGAAGCAUUGACUAUACUGAUUAAUGAAGACUAAAGAGAGGAUCAACAUGAAGAAAGAAAUAUGCAUAAACUAAAAUGCAGUUGCUUGACGUAUAGAACAACAUGCAAGUCGUGCAUACCAAUGUCUCAAGCUGUCGAGUACGAGUUCCAUGACCACAGGAUGGUUGCAGUUUAGUGUAUUCCCUGGAUUAAACCAAGUAUACUGUUAACACUUAGGAGUAGACACAAGUUCCACUUACUUGAAAUUUUAAACGUACCAGAACAUUAAGUACCUAGCCAUCUAAAUGUUAUAUCAACCAGAUAAUUAAGCAGGCUUUCAAUAUUUUUUUAACAAGGUUUCCUUAUAGGUAGCAAUGUGGCAGUCUCACAUCAAUGCAUGGGUUGAGAAAUAUAGUGGCUGCAGCCAAAUAAUGACCAAGUGAGAACUCUUAACCCUUCUACCAGUCAAUAUAGCACCUAACGUGGCUGCAAGGUUCAGUCUGAUGGCAUGACGAAGAUAAUAAAAAUAGAUUGAAUCAACAUUUAUCAUUUGAAAUACAUCACAACAAAGUAGCGGCCAGAUAUGCAGUUUAUUUGCCUAGAAGCACACAAUCGCAAGAUAAAUUAGCAAGGUACGUGGUUAGUAAGUGGAUCAGCAAAACAAGAUACAUUAACAUCCUUAAAAGCCGGAGCAACAAAGAACAUACAAAGCAUCAGGUAGCACCCUAGAACAUGCUCACCUAUCACAAGCACGUCACAAACAAUCAAGUAACAGAAGUUCAGGAAUCAUGGUUUUACCGCAUCCCGAGAAGUUCAGCAGUUGAGAGUUGUUCUUCGGAUCUAACAUGUAAUAAACCUGCAUGAAUGAAAGUAGUGUUUUUGGUAUAAAUCCAUGUAAAACCUGAAGCAGGUGUACACUUCUAAACACAUUGGGAUUUAGAACGGAUUAACUUAACCUGGUCACAAAUUUUACUUAGCCUUCUAAGACCAGUGACUGUCUGACCCAUUAUAAAAUAACAGGUCAAAAGGGUGGAGUGAGCAAACCCAUACACAAAUUCUGAGUUAAGCAGCCCUAUUCCGAUUCUAACCUAGUCCUCUUCAACCCGGAACAAAACACAACCUACACAUUAGAACUAAGAAAAGAUAGAGUGACAAGCAGAUAGGUGCCUUCGUCGGCUAUAACUCAAAUAGAUAAAUCACCUUGUUGUCGAUGCCACGAAAAGAAGUAACAUAAGGAUUAGCGUCAUCUGCUUCAUUUGUAUGGUUGUAAACGACAUCCAGAAUAACCUACACAAAAUGAUGAUACCACUAAACACAUGUUAUCAUGUGGGAUGAAUAAGAAUGCUACAAUAGGUUGCCAUAUCUACUGGAUGUCAAUACCUCUAUACCAGCUUUAUGCAAUGCCUUGACCAUCUGCUUGAGCUCUCUGGAAGCAGCCAAUGGUCCACCACCAGCACUUGCAUAGCGGGUCAUGGGAGCAAAAAAAUUGAUUGUAGAAUAACCCCAUGUAUUGACCUUCCAAUUGAGAAGAUGAAAAGUCAUUCCACAAUUGAUUCCACUGAUGAACCAUAAUGAUGACAUCAUGCACAAAGUGGCAUAUCGGAAUUUUUACCAUGUGGUCCCUUGGGUUAGGGUACCUCUUCAACUCCAGCUCAUCAAACUCAAAAACAGGUAGCAACUCCACUGCAUUAACUCCGAGUUCAAGCAAAUGCGGGAUCUACAAAACCGCAACUAUUGCAUGCAUAAGUCAUUAAACAAUAGGCUUGAAGCCUUGAACACUGAAAGCUAAUAUGCAUAUCAGGUUCCCAAAACUAGAUCACUAAAAUAAUAGUCGGAAUAUAUUUAUUUCGCUAAUAACUUCCAGUAAGGACCAAACAAAUAAUUGUUGUUACAAGCCACACAAUAAGAAGAAAUUAAAACUUACUUUGUCGAUGAAUCCUAGGUAGCUUCCGCGAACAGCUGCAUCAAGCCCACUUGACUCAUCCGCAGUGAAAGCGCGAACGUUCAUUUCAUAUAUAACUAGAUCUGUCUAGAUUAAAGAACAUAAGAAAAGCAGUGAACUUCAUGUUUGGGAUGCUUUCUGCAUUUAUUCUAUGAAAUGAUUCUAGUACCUCAGGCAAAUGUGGAAGCUGGUAAUCAGCACCCCAGUCAAAAGGAGAGCUAUCAAAAUCAUAUGUUCCAAAAGGCUGGCUGGGCUUCCCGUUAUCAACCCCAAAGUAAUUUCGACCAGAAACUAGUUUCGCGUAAGGGUCAAGAAGAAUAAUGUUGCUAUCAAACCUAUGGCCUUGUUCCCAUCCUUGAGGACCAUUAACACGAUAUCCGUAAAGAACUCCAGAAGUGGGCAACCCCUGAAAGUACAGUUAUAGAAGGCUUCAUUCAGCAUAUAUGCAUGGGAAAAUACAUAGGAGCAAAAUAGGCACAGAUUUCUCCUCCUAACUAUAAAUAUUGUAAAGAACAUAAGGAUGUGUUUUCAGCCAAGACCAAAAGAGAACAUAAGGAUUUCUCCUCCCAACAAUAAAUAUUGUAAAGAACAUAAGGAUAUGUUUUUCAGCCAAGACCAAAAAAUAUAGAUGUUCGCCGGCGUUCUGGUGGCUCCGCCUCCGGCGGUACGAAUCUGCGUUCCCUUCCGGCUCCGGAUUGCCGGCGGCCAUCCUUCCAUCUGCAUAGGCUCUCUACCCCGCUGCCUCUCCGACCCCGUCCGCCUACACGCCAUGUCGGUUCCAAAGCUCGCGUUUUUCGUCGGCAACAUGUGCAGCCCCACCCCCAUCAGAGGUAGUGGUCGACAUGCAGGUUGUCUCCGACAUCUUUGGAUCCUGAUUUGGCGGCUUUGAGAUUGCUUGGACUAGGCCAGGCGAAAUCCAUGCUCGGUUUGCCGAUGCAGGUCGUUUCCCUUCUUGGAGGCGCUGCCAUGGCCUUUGUCCGUGCACCCCUUCGAGUAUGAGGGGAAACCCUAGGUCCGGUUCUCCGGAUCGGAUGGCGACGACGUCACGACAUCAUUCCCCUUCUUGAAGGCGCUAUCUUGCUAGCUCAUGGUGUCCCGGUGUUGGAAUUGAAGAUUUUUUAUUGAAGGGUUUUUCUCCCCGAUUUCAUCCAGAAACCACAAAAAUCCUUGCAGUCAUGCUAGAAGUGACACAGUGAGAUAGCCAAAGUUAUGAGGCUACACUACUCAGUAGUGCAUUUUGUUUCCCUUUAUGAAUGAGUUACGUGAUAAGACCAGUGCUUUCAAAAUAUAUGAUUCUCAUAAAAUUAAAUCUUGUUUUGAAGAAUAUGCAAUACAGAUACACAUGAGACGAAUGAUGGGAUUCUUGUUCCAUAAAUGCCAGCCACACCAAGUUGUCAAUACUGAAAAGAAUAAUGCCUUAUCUUCGAAGGUACAGAUAACAUCAAAGCUUCAUAACAAUACCUCCACCGACACAUGCCAUAUAUCUCCAGUUUUGUUCUUCUGGCAAUCUAAAGCAAACUCCACAACUUUUUCACUUUCUUCAUCCUUGGUUCCUCUGCAGGGCAAUCCAGUAUGUCAGACGUUGAGACGAAUCAUAUUUCAUUGGAAAGAGAAUGCGAGAUGAACAAGCUAAAGCACAAUGCUGAUCAGCAAAAGGUUAUUUCAACCAGGCCAACACCCCAGAUCAACUAACAAAAUGCAAAAUGGCAACCUGGGAAACAAAUAAACAUCGUUUUGUGCACGAUCUGCAACAUACACAAACAGUUGAUCAAAGUGCGACGUAAGGAUGUGUUUUGGCUUUAUGAACAACUUGUUUUGCGGAAAACCAGGAUUCACGAGUCCUGGCCUAAAAGGCAAAAACAGUUUAACUUAAGUGACACUGAAAGCAACAAAACCACACAAUUUAGGAAAGGUUGUCUGUACCUCUCAGGAAGCUUGAUGCAGAGGGUGACAGAAGAAGCAUUUUGAGAGAAAAUCGCAAAGUUGAGACCACUUUCAACCUGCGACACUCCUAGAGGGGAUGCUUUGCCGGAAGAAUAUUUCAAGGGCAUUUCGGUACCCGCCGUUGCGCUUUCCCUUUCCUGGCGGUGUUGCAGAAUGAACAUACACUUUAGCAAAAAUAACAUGGUACAGAAUGAGGAAUAAGAAUACGCAGCAUCAUACAGUUAAUGAAUACAAACAUAUUCGCUUAGCGUGAAGUUUUACCAGGAUGAUAGCUCACGACAUGCCAAAUGACCAUGAAUGUAUAUCAAACAAACAGUUCAGUACACUGGUAGCUAAAUGGAUCGACGAACAAAUACAGUGUACUAUACAACCAUACGGGGCAUGAACACUUGAGUGUGGGGCGAUACCUCGGUCACAAUUCUCCCAGCAUUACCAGUCUGAGCUCCCACCGAGGUACUCCGCACGGACCUAAAUCGCUGUGCCUGCACCACGACAAAAUCCGCUCUGAUCAAUCCACCAAUUAGAGCAGAGGAAUGGAUGCACGCCGCGAAAAACAAAAGUACGAAAUCGAGACACCUGCCUUUCCGAAUUGCCCUCCUCCGCACCCGGGCGCGACCCCAAGCCUGCUCGCUGCCACACUGCACGGGAACCACGACCAAACACAUGCAUCGUUCAGCGCGGCCGCACGGCAGGAAAGCAACAAAAUGCAGCGCGGCGAAACGAGGUCUCGCGAAGAGAGAGGUUAAAAACCCACCGGUUAGGAAGCGCGGGGCGGACGGAGCUGCUGCUUCGGCGCGCGGUGGCGGCGGCGGCGGGGCGCAGCGGGGAGCGAUUUGUAGAGGCCGCCGAAUCCAUCCAAAUGCGGGGGUGCUGGGACGGGGUGGCGGGAGGGAUUUGGCUCGGGGCCGGGGCUUAGUUAUAGGGGCUCGUGGACACGGUCAUGGGGCGGCUCGCGGCUCUCGAGGUCGAGGGAGUGGAGCGGCGAUGGGGAGCGCAAGUCGGAGCAGGAGGAGAAGGAUGCGGUGAUCUCACCUCGGGGAGGGCGCGCGGAGGAAUGGGGGCGCGGGGGCGACGGAGAUGGGUGAUGGACACGUGGUGUCGCAUGCGCGGGGCGGGGGCGGCGGAUAGGGAAGUGGAGUGGACGGAGGACCUUGGCUCCCUUCCGGCCCCGACGUGUGGUGUCGUCUCGUCAUGUGCUUUCCAUACAACAGUUACCGGUGGUCUCAGUAGACGAGAAACGGUCGAAAUCACGGACAGAAGAGGUGGGAAACUUGCUUUACCGAAAAAUCUGAAAAUAAUUAUCCACGUAUCUUUAUCUUUACCUCCUUACCUAUAUAUAUAUAUAUAUAUAUACUAAUAUAUAUAUAUUAUAUAUAUAUAUAUAUAUACUAAUAAACCACGCAUCGCUUCUGGUGGUACGUCAUAAAAACAACCCUCGAAGUUGGCAAUAAUUACCCACCAAUGCCACCCGUAAGUGGCAAAAACGAUUCGUUUUUAAUUUCUAAUAUCGCUCCAGGGUUCUGUUAU